UGUCGUGAUGGUGUUGAGCGGUGGU
rnacentral:piRNA from 1 species